rnacentral:misc_RNA from 1 species
GUGGGAGCGGGCUUGCUCGCGAAUGCGGUGUGUCAGUCACCGAAUUUGCUAGCUGAUACACCGCAUUCGCGAGCAAGCCCGCUCCCAC